ACAUUUCUAACACUUUUUAUGGGUUUCAUGAAAAGGUGGAAGUUUAAAACAAGGAAUAUCGACUUUUUGUCUGUGUUAGAUUUGCAUUAAAGAUGCCCAUUUCCUUUUUCUUUUUUCCCCCCUCAAAAUUUGGAUUGGAAUAAAUCUUAUCUAUUUUGUUUUCAAAUUCACAUCAACUUGAUAGUAUUUAUCUUCUAUUUAAAUCAAUGGAAACAAUUUGAAAUGCCUAGACACUCUUGGAUCAUAUAUACGUUUCUUUGAAAUGUGUGUGCAUCAAUACUAUUAUUACUGGUUUCCAUCUAUGGAGUUGGUUAGAGUCCAUUUGAUGGCUUGGUGUGACAAUGGCCGUGACCUGAAGUUGCCAUUCUCGGAUGCUAUAUCUCCGGCCACUCCCCCGGAUCAUUUCGUGUUAGCUCAAGCAAGGACUCUCUUAAAUGGUCAGCUUCAACUAAUUCACCAUCCCUUUUCAGUGUCCACCAUGUGGAAGAAAGUCAAAUAUUGAAAUCAAUAAAGUAGAUUUGGUUUCAUGAGUAUGGAUUUACGUAAACAAUAGGAGCAAAAAAGGGACGGUUUUGAAUUUUUAAAUUAAGGAGUAAAGGAUAAAGCAAUGGGCUUAGGACCAUGUUUCAUUCCACUUUGUGAUCGGGAUUAGGACCAUGUUUCAUUCCACUUUGUUGUAUUUUACCUGGAUGAUCAUUUUUCACAUUAUGAUUUGCUCCUUAUUUACUUGUAUCCUUAAUCCUCAUUAUGCAAGUCCUUCACAUACUCGACUGCUUCUCCAAGAAUGGAAGCUCUAUCCAGAUACAAG
rnacentral:lncRNA from 1 species